CCACGUGUUUAACUUCGCUCCCUUUUAAAGCAAAAGAAGAGCUUCGGCCAGCAGCACGUGAGCGAUUUUACAGACUGCCACCCAUCGAUGAUCAUUAAUAGACUGGAGAAUGUCGGCGAGGAAUUUAGCGCACAAUUGGCGUGUGUUGCUGGAAACGGCAUCUCCCCCUGCACGGCCCCUGCUUACCUAGUAGCGUGACCAUGAAGCAAUGCACGAGCAGAGAGAUCUUAACAUGCACAGAGUCAGUCUGCUGCUCAUCUCACCAGCGGGAGCACGUACAGCGCGCACUUAAAGAAACGAUAUCUGAUUCACAUCAGCCACAUGUUUCUUUCAACCCCGCAGCGCGUCUUUAUUCAUUCGAGCUUCCAGCAACCAGAUGCACUUCAUGGCGAUAGAUAAAGAAAACCCCAUGCGCAAGGAGUUAAUAAGUCAAACAAAGGCAUAUGACUUCCAUAACUUCAUCGCUCAUUAACCGCUGAUGGUAGGACACAAUUGAGCGAGUGUUUGUGGAACUUGCCCUAGAUAUUCAGAUCUCAGUCCUUGGCUCUGGCUGUUGGGCAGAUCUUCUCCUG